UCCCGGUUAACCCGGGCAGUCCCGUUAGAGUUCCCAGCAUCUUUCGACCUGAUGGCAACUAACGGUAAGGGUUGCGCUCGUUGCAGGACUUAACCUAACAUCUCACGACACGAGCUGACGACAGCCAUGCAGCACCUCUGCAACACCCUCGAAGGAGUCCUACUUUCAUAGGAUGAGCAGUUGCAAUUCCAGGCUAGGUAAGGUUCUUCGCGUUGCAUCGAAUUAAACCACAUACUCCACCGCUUGUGCGGGCCCCCGUCAAUUCCUUUGAGUUUCAACCUUGCGAUCGUACUCCCCAGGCGGAGAACUUAAUGCGUUAGCUGCGACACCAGAGGGGUCGAUUCCCCUGACAUCUAGUUCUCAUCGUUUACGGCGUGGACUAC
rnacentral:misc_RNA from 1 species